CUAUAAAUCUUAGGUAGUGUUCACUUUCCCUGCCAGUCUGCUAAACAACCUGGGGUUUUUCUCAAGGAAAACAGAAGCUGCCCAUCAUUCUCUGUCCACUGCACCCUCCUACCAGGCUCCAGAAGCCAGCGUGCUGCACAGGAGGUCCACUUUUCAACUUGAGGAUCAAUACAAGCUAAACAGGUGAUAUUUCCAGCCCAAAGGGACAACACAAGUCGAUGCAUUUAAUGCUCUCCCUUGGGGAUUCUCUGAUGAAAAGACCUACCGGGUAGAAGAGGACAAACACAUCAUUGUGUGACAGAGACCAGGGAGCCUCAUAAAUCAAGGAGAACCGCUAUCCACUCCCAUCUAGACAAGCAGAGACCUUCCACUGUGAGGAAGCCAGCAUGGGGGAAAAGGACCAGCUGCCACCGCGGACACCGCUCAAAGGACUCAACUGUCCUCAGCUCCCUUGACAAACUCUUGUAUAACUCAAUUCAACAACCCUGGGAGUAGGUGGAACACCCACUCACUCAGUGAUGUUGGCUACUCGUGUCCAUCUUUGCUUGGGUCUGUGAAACCCCUGGAAAAUAGCAGCAGUAAGAAAUAAUCAAAUGGGGGGAGGGCACGGGAGGAGGGGAGGGAAAG